AAAGGGAGACCUAAUUCAGGUAAAAGACGAAAAAAAGUAGUCGCUACCAAGAAUCAAUCCCAAAAGGUCGGAGCGAGGCGAAAUUGGCUUUCAAACUAGGUUCUGGGUUCAAACAAGACCUGAAUCAGGAACAAGGGCUAUUAGCUCAGGUGGUUAGAGCGCACCCCUGAUAGGGGUGAGGUCCCUGGUUCGAGUCCAGGAUGGCCCACCUGCACAGGUGGCAAAAACAAGAGAAGCGAGGAAUCAGCACCUUAUCUUACUUAUAUAGUAAGAGAGAAUGCUGGCUCUGAGUAAAGAGUCCAGAGGAACCUUGAAAACUGCAUAGAGCUAGGUGAAAAAGCCAAAAAAGAAGACCGCAAG
rnacentral:tRNA from 1 species